GCUCCCAUAGUGUAGUCCGGCCAAUCAUAUUGCCCUCUCGAGGCAAUGACUCGGGUUCAAAUCCCGAUGGGAGCA
rnacentral:tRNA from 1 species